UAAGGGAUAUUGGACAAUGGGGGCAACCCUGAUCCAGCCAUGCCGCGUGAGUGAUGACGGCCUUCGGGUUGUAAAGCUCUGUCUUCAGGGACGAUAAUGACGGUACCUGAGGAGGAAGCCACGGCUAACUACGUGCCAGCAGCCGCGGUAAUACGUAGGUGGCGAGCGUUGUCCGGAUUUACUGGGCGUAAAGGGAGCGUAGGCGGACUUUUAAGUGAGAUGUGAAAUACCCGGGCUCAACUUGGGUGCUGCAUUUCAAACUGGAAGUCUAGAGUGCAGGAGAGGAGAAUGGAAUUCCUAGUGUAGCGGUGAAAUGCGUAGAGAUUAGGAAGAACACCAGUGGCGAAGGCGAUUCUCUGGACUGUAACUGACGCUGAGGCUCGAAAGCGUGGGGAGCAAACA
rnacentral:rRNA from 1 species